AGUGAACGCUGGCGGUAGGCCUAACACAUGCAAGUCGAACGGCAGCACAGUAAGAGCUUGCUCUUACGGGUGGCGAGUGGCGGACGGGUGAGGAAUACAUCGGAAUCUACUUUUUCGUGGGGGAUAACGUAGGGAAACUUACGCUAAUACCUCAUACGACCUACGGGUGAAAGCAGGGGAUCUUCGGACCUUGCGCGAUUGAAUGAGCCGAUGUCGGAUUAGCUAGUUGGCGGGGUAAAGGCCCACCAAGGCGACGAUCCGUAGCUGGUCUGAGAGGAUGAUCAGCAACACUGGAACUGAGCACCGGUCCAGACUCCUACGGGAGGAAGCAGUGGGGAAUAUUGGACAAUGGGCGAAAGCCUGAUCCAGCCAUACCGCGUGGGUGAAGAAGGCCUUCGGGUUGUAAAGCCCUUUUGUUGGGAAAGAAAAGCAGCAGGUUAAUACCCCGCUGUUCUGACGGUACCCAAAGAAUAAGCACCGGCUAACUUCGUG
rnacentral:rRNA from 1 species